rnacentral:lncRNA from 1 species
GAGAAAAUGAAACAGUGACUUCAGUGUGAGCAGAGCGAGGGAGGGGCCUUGGAAGUGGGCUCAGCCCAGCUUCCACCGGGCUGUUGGUGGCCUGCACUGGGGUCCCUGAGAGCCAGGGCUGCAGAAGCUGGGGCCGGCAAGGCCGGGGUCCCCGCAGCUGGGCAGCACUCACCACUGAGCCACCUGGCCCUGACGGCCAACACAAUGGACACGCCUGGAAGGAGAGGAUGGGCCAGGUGGGAAGGCUGUUCCUGUCUAUUUCCAGCCUGUGCUUUCUCCUCGCCACCCCUGGACCAGUAACCGGGGCCCGGUUUGGGGACCAGCAGGCCACGCUGCUCAUCACGAUUGGCCUCAGGAUGUGCAAAGUGUGUCCCUGCUGUUGUGCAAGGCGUACCUCAUCGGCACGUUGGGCCUCGGUGGGGAAAGAACCCGGUUUGAGGUCAGGAGGAUUUGGAGGCUGUCUGUCUCUGUUUUGGAGCAGCCCUGCCACUCAGAUGCCAGCAGCCACGGGCAGGGCACCUGGCUGAGCCAGGACCUGGCCAUCUGGGCAGCACCUCGCCCUGACCCGGCUUGGCCCGAAGCCUGCGUGGAGUUGGAGUUGCGAGUCCAGUCCUGCCAGUGG